rnacentral:misc_RNA from 1 species
AUAAAGUCAAUGGGAUUUUUAGCCCAAGGAGGGAGUCUGACGGAAUCAAGGUUCUCCCCUAAUUGAGUGGUGCCAAAAUCAAUCGAGUUUUCAUUUGUUAAGAUCUCAGGAAGGUAAAAAAGCUCUGGAACUAAUUCCUUCACAUCACUCAUAUCUUCCAGAACCCCAUUCCAAGUACCAGAAAUAUCCAAAAACAUCCGAUCAGCAUGAUCAAAU